rnacentral:tRNA from 1 species
GAGGCUAUAGCUCAGUCGGUUUGGGUCGCGGACUUUUAAUCCGCUGGUCCCGGGUUUGAGCCCCGGUGGCCCCC